UAGCUCAGUUGGUAAAGAAUCUGCCUGCAAUGCAGAAGACCCUGGUUUGAUUCCUGG
rnacentral:tRNA from 1 species